rnacentral:lncRNA from 1 species
UAUGUUCUUUUUCAGAUUCUUUUCCAUUAUAGGCCAUUAUAAGAUAUAAUUCCUUACACUAUACACUAGGGCCAGUCACAUUUUAUUGUUUUGUCAUUUGUUUAUUUUUUCAGAACAUCUUGUAUUAUGAAUGCAGCAUCUACUCAUGUUUUCCUGAGAAUCACUAAAGAAAAAAGCUCUCUUACUGUUUUGACUUGUUUCUGUUUUCAGGGAGGUCAUAUUUUUCUUUCCUUCAUUUUUAAAACUUUAUUCAAAUAUCUGGUGAUCCUUAGUUAUUCCUAAUUAAGAAUCAAGCAAUAAAAAGCUGAUAGGUAAUUCAUAAUUAUCCAUAUGGCUACUAUCAAAAAAUAGAAAAUAACAAGUGUUGGCUAGGAGGUGGAGAAAUGGAAUCCUUGGGCACUGUUGGUGGAUAUAAUAUAUAAUAUGAUACAUCUGCAAUAGAAGACAGUAUGUGGUUCCUCAAAAAAAUUUAAAUAGAAUUUCCAUAUGAUUCAGCAAUCUCACUUCUGUGAUUAUACCCCAAGGAAUCAAAAGCUGAGUCUUCAAGAAUUGUGAACUCAUGUUCACAGCAGCAUUACUCACCAUAGCCAAAAGGUAAAAGCAACUCAAGUGUCCAUCAUUAAUGGAUAAAUGAUGUAGUAUAUACAUACAAUGGAAUAUUACUCAACCUUAAAGAAGCAAAAGAUGUCUAUCACAUGCUACAACAUGAAUAAAUCUUGAGGCAUUAUACUGAGUAAAACGAGCCAGUCACAAAAAGAUAAAUACUGUAUGAUUCCAUUUAUAUAUGGUAUCUAGAGAAUCAAAUUACAAAGAAUCAUGGUUCUUAGAGGCCAGGGGAGGGGGAAAUGGGAAUUAUUGCUUAAAGAGUUUAGAGUUUCAGUUCUGCAAGAUGAAAAGGCUCUAGAGAUGGCUGCACAACAACAAUGUGAAUACAAUUAAUAUUGAAAUGUGCAUUUAAAAGUGGUUAAGAUGGGAGUCCUGUCGUGGCACAUCGGAAAUGAAUCUGACUAGGAACAAUGAGGUUGUGGGUUCAAUCCCUGGCCUCGCUGAGUGGGUUAAGGAUCCAGUGUUGCCAUGAGCUGUGGUAUAGGUCACAGACAUGGCUUGGAUCUGGCGUUGCUGUGCUGUGGCAUAGGAGGCAACAGUUCCGAUUCAACCCCUAGCCUGGGAACCUCCAUAUGCCUCAGGUGUGGUCCUAAAAAGGUAAAAGACAAAAAAAUUAAAAUAACUUAUGAAAAUAAAAAAAUUAAUAAAUGGGAUAAAAACAGCAACUUAUAGGAAGCUAUAGCAGACACAUUGGGAUCCUGCCCAUACUUUUUCAGUAAUAACCAUUUUCACCUUAUGCUGGCAUGUUUCCAAGUAGAAUUGAGUAUCCUAGCUCAUGACAAUUUUAUCAAUUUGGGUUGUGGUAAUGAUCAAUACUAAUACUGCACAUUCAUAUAAACAUUUUUCUCUGAGAGAAUGGGUUCUCUGACAUGUUAAAUGUUCCGUAUUGGGAAAUAAAUCAUAAUUAUGAUAAAAUAAGGGCAUCAAGGAAUGAAAGGCUAGUGAAUUGAGAACUUAGCAGUUCUUCUUCUUUUUUUGGCUCUGCCCCCGGCAAAAAACCCUGCCACCCAGGAUCCUUAGUCCACUGAGCCACCAGGGAACUGCAGCAGUUCUUAUGCUCCAUUCACAACUUCUAAAAAGAUACAAAGCAAAAAGGGGGUGGUGUUGAAGGAAAAGAAUUUCAGGCUCUAUGAGUAAAAUGAAAGAAAUGCUACCAACUUAAGAAAAAUUGACAGAGAAGGAAAAAAAUUGUAAAGAUUUCACGCUUUUAAAUUGAUAAAUCCAAAAAAAAACUGAAAAAGUAUUAUUUCUGUUUUACAAAGAUGGACACUUUCAAAGAAACAAAGGCAUUGGUAUCAGCAUAUAUCAUGAAAAUUCUUGAUAAUCAUUUCUGUCCCAAAUCAAUGAUAACAUAAAGGAUGAAUAUUUGACUUUGUCAUUCAGGUUUUAAAUUCACUCUGAAGUUCUGUUUUUGUUUUUCAGUGUAGGAAGAUAGGUAGGUACUUCUAAACUUCAGGUCUCCUCACUUUAUAUAUAACAGCAGUACUGGAGGGAGCUACAGAAAAAAAAAUGACUUGAAUCAUAUUGCUCAUCAUUCAGCUAAAAAUAGGGAAGCCACACUUAAGUAUCCUGGCAUUUACAGGGAUAAAAAAGAAAAUUUUUAUGGUCACUGUUGUUAGCAAAGAGAACAUAUUUCUUCAUCUAUGAGGAAACCAAAGACCAAAAAAAUUGCCAGAGUACAAAGGGGUAGCAAGCACCUGGCUCUAAUUCAAUUCUGCCAAGAGGCCCAGAAGGAAUCAAUAAACACUUAUUAACUAAUCACACAGCAUCUCGCUUCUGUGAGUGAAAUGGCAAGUUUGUACAAAUGAUGAAAUUAAACAACCCUUAAUAUAGAUGGAAAUGUAGGAGACUAAGGAAAAAGCUGAGCGACUAGUUUGACAUCAAAUUUCCUAGGAAGUGGUUUAUCUAUCUUUCUUCAUUCUAUACCUAGUGGGGUCCAUCUAAGAUGUGGAGGGGAAAACAUCAAGCCUACUGUAUUAACAGCCUUAUUUUCCUGUGCCUUCCACCAUUACCCUUUAGCUUUAUAUGCCUGUGAUAAGGCCUUGGAAAUCCUACACCACCCCCAAUCAACCUUUAGAAAAUCAUUAGUCAAAAUAACAAAUGCAAAGUACUCAAUUUGUGUCUAGGAAACUGAAUUACAAUCGGAAGAUCAAAGGCAUUAUCCAGGUAACUCACAUGAAACCCACCCGGCUGCCCUUGGCCUGCAUUAUUUAGUAAACUAAUUGCCCUUUCCUUCACUUUCCAUUUCAAAAUGCCUAGGGAGAGGCAGAUGAGCUAGAUUUCUGGGCUCUCAAGGUUUAAAAAAGAGCAUAAGCAGUCAGGCCAUCUCCCUUCAUUUAGGAUCCAAAACCUGUACCCCACUGUAUCAGGAUAGCAAGAUUCCCCAACAGAGCCUUGGAUCUAAGAUCUAGGAAACAGAACUUACCACCCAAUAAAACAGGGACAGAGUGCACAGGGCAAAAGCUGCUUUGGUUUUUUGCCUCCAUGGUCCUACUAACUAGAGACCAACUGGACCCUUAUAGUUUGAAAGCUAAGACUUAGGUGCUGUGGAUUUCAUGAAAAAGCUGGAGGUAAUCCAUGUUAUUAGCAUGAAACCCAGAAGAAUUCAAUUCUUAGACGAUACCAACAAGGACCACCAAUCCUCUUAGUCAAAGAAUACUAAUGGCCCAACAGAGGCACCCCAAAUGGGACAUGUCUAAAAAUUGCAUUCAUUUAAAAAAAAAACGCUUUUCCCCGUGUUCCCUCUCCAGUGACAGCAACACUGGAUAGCCAGUUGCUACAACAACAGAAACCUUACAGUUAUGCUCUCUGCUCCUCAUAUGUAUUCCCUAAAGCCCUGACAUGCUCAUCUUUCACUUUUCCAUCACAUUUGAUCUUGACUUCCUCUGCUGCAUCCCAUCACUACCCCCAACCCCAUCACUGCUCCUUGGGAUUCCUCCAGGAAUCUCCAUCAUUGCCUGGUCCCCUGCCUCCAUCAGGCACUCCCCAUCUCCUUCCCUACUGCUGUCCUAUCAGCUUUUCGAAAUGUGAUCACAUCACUUCCUUAUUUAAAAUCUCUCAGGGUUCCAAGUGGUUCCAGGUGUUAAAAAUUGCUCAUGUUUCACAGGUACUAUAUUUGAUACCCUGUAAUAAUAAUCCAUGGGUAUCUAUGUAUAACUGAAUCAUGGUGCCAUAUAACAGAAGUUAACACAACAUGGUAAAUCGACUAUAUAGUUCACUAAAAUAAAUUUAGAUUUAAAAAAGGAAAAAGCAACUGCUCAUGUUUUAACCAAGAAUUUUCUUUUUAGUCAGGCUGAUACAAGUUUAAAUGUAUAAAAAUUACCAAAGGAUAAACACUGAAACAUCAACUUUUUCACUUAUCCUAGACCCUGAGAGCUCCUACUACUUUUUUUCUUCUUUGGCUGCACCCAUAGCAUUUGGAAGUUGCUGGGCCAGGGAUCAAUUCCGAGCCCCAGCUGCAACCUAUGCAACAGCUGCAACAAUGCCAGAUCCUUAACCGACUGCACCAGUACUGGGAUUGAACCCAUGCCUCAAUAGUGACCCGGGCUGCUGCAGAGACAAUGCUAGAUCCUUCCUCUGAGAGCUCCUGCUAUUAAUAGUUUCUCAGGUACCACAAAUUUCUUUCUGUGAUAAACACACAUAUACUUGCAAUUUUACAUUAUUUUUUACCCACUUUAUGUUGCAGAUUCAUAUGAACACUUACAGCCAUACUUUACGCAUUUGAACAGUGUCCAACUCCAAGUAUAAACAGUAUAUAAUUUAUUUAAUUAGCACUUCUCUGUGGGGAUUUGUGUUGUUGGUUUUUUGUUUGUUUUUACUCCUUUACUCUCUCUUUGCAGAAACAAAAAUGCAAUGAAUGCAGAGUCAAGUUGAAAUUCUUCAGCAGACAAGUUCUUCAGGAUUUGGCUACUGCCCAUACUCUGCUUCCUCUCCUCCACUUCCUCAUACACCAGACUCCUUGUGGCCACACCAAGCUACCUGCAGUCCCUCCAGACACGGUGCGGCCAGGUUACCUCUGCCUGUGAUGUCCUCUCUGCCCUUUUUUUUUUUGUCUUUUUACUAUUUCUUUGGGCCGCUCCCGUGGCAUAUGGAGCGGCCCUAGAAAAGGCAAAAAGACAAAAAAAUAAAAUAAUAAAAUAAAAAAAAAUAAAAGGACUCAAAUUUUAUCCUGAUUUUGAUGUCCCUCCCUCCCUUUCCGAACUCCUUUGACUCCUGUGCUACACUAUGCUCCAUGAAUUCUGCAAAGAAUCGAUACACCUACCAUUGUUCUGGCACACUCAAGACAUGGGAUGGAUGAAGGCAGGCAUAUAGCUAGGUGAAAUUAGAGAUACUUGAAAAGAAGAUGGGAUGAUGCGUAUAAGACCCUGAAUAAAAACCAUCACACUCCAUGGUGCUGCCAUGCUCAUUACCAAAGAAAAGAGCCCCUGAAGGCAGAAGGUGCUGAAGAGGGAGAGUGGCAGAAGGUGCUCCUGGGGACAAACAUCAGCGCAUGGUAGCCUGGACUAAGUGAGCCAUGCAUAUUGCAGAUACCACAGGAGGCCAAGUGAGUAAGAGAAGACAAGAUCUGGAGCUGUCAAAAAUGAUUUGGUGGGAAUAUAAACUGAUGUAGCCACUAUGGAGAAUAGUACAGAAGUGCCUUAAAAAACUAAAAAUAGUUACCAUAUGAUACAGCAAUCCACAUCCUGGGCAUAUAUCCAGAGGAAACCAUAAUUUGAAAAGAUACAUGCACUUCAAUGUUCAUUGCAGCACUAUUUAAAAUAACCAAGACAUAGAAGCAACCUCUACUAUCACUGACAGAUUAUGGAAAAAAAAGACGUGGUACUGGAGUUCCUGCUGUGGCAUAGUGGGUUAAGGAUCUGGUGUUAUCUCCAUCGUAUGGGUGGCUCUGGUUGCUGCAGAGGCAUGGGUUUGAUCCCUGGUCCAGAGCAGUGGGUUAAGGAUCCAGUAGAUCCCUGGUCCAGGAACUUCCAUAUGCCAUGGGUGUGGCCAAAAAAAAGGAUGUGGUACAUAUACAAAAUGGAAUAUUACAUAGCC